rnacentral:misc_RNA from 1 species
AAUACUUAAACUUCAAUUUAAUACCACUCAGAGUCCCUCUAAUUAUAUUUCGCUGGGUAUUCAGGUCAGAAGUUAAUUUGGACAUGCCUAAGUGGAUGAGAUACAAUAAAAAAUUAUUCAGGGUUUGAUCUAUCUAAAGAUAAAGAAAAAAUUAUAUGAAAUAAAAGAGUUAUCAGUAAUAUUUCAACCACAAUUAAAGAGGCUUCUCUCUCCACGUGGUAGAGAUUUUUUAUUGUGUCUGAUUCACCUAGGCAUGUUUAGAUUAGUUUUUACCCGGAGUACUCAACAGAAUUUGGCUUGAGAGACUUUGGAUGGUAUUAAUUUGAAAUUUGAGUAUUUUUGUAAUACAAAUUGAAGUUAAUGGACGGUGAUGAAACAACUUCAAAGUUGAGGGAUGGUUGAUAAAAUUAAGACUAAUAUUUGAAGUCCUAAGUCACUGCCUGUUCCCUAGACAUUGGAUCAAUUGGUACUGCUGCCCACCUCUUUUGAUUCCUUGCAUUUUCUUGUGGUUGCCUCAGGUGUCUGUGCUUCGAAAUAAGA